GCUCCCAUGGCGUAGUGGUCACUGCGCUCGCCUUGCACGCGGGAGACCCGGGUUCGAUUCCCGACGGGGCCA
rnacentral:tRNA from 1 species